AUCCAGACUCCUACGGGAGGCAGCAGUGGGGGAUAUUGCACAAUGGGGGAAACCCUGAUGCAGCGACGCCGCGUGGGCGAAGAAGUAUUCCGGUAUGUAAAGCCCUAUCAGCAGGGAAGAAGAAAUGACGGUACCUGAGUAAGAAGCACCGGCUAAAUACGUGCCAGCAGCCGCGGUAAUACGUAUGGUGCAAGCGUUAUCCGGAUUUACUGGGUGUAAAGGGAGCGCAGGCGGCACGGCAAGCCUGAUGUGAAAGCCCGCGGCCCAACCGCGGGACUGCAUUGGGAACUACCGGGCUGGAGUGCCGGAGAGGUAGGCGGAAUUCCUAGUGUAGCGGUGAAAUGCGUAGAUAUUAGGAGGAACACCAGUGGCGAAGGCGGCUUACUGGACUGUAACUGACGUUGAGGCUCGAAAGCGUGGGGAGCAAACAGGAUUAGAUACCCGGGUACG
rnacentral:rRNA from 1 species